CUAUGCUUUCUGACCAACUUUUUUUUUUUUUUUUUUUUUUUUAUGAUUUGUCAUUGUUGAGAUGGGACAAAAGUCACAUUCAGACUACGUCACAUGUCGGUGGUGUUGAGAGGCAAGAGGGGAUCCCUCGUUCCCUCUUCCCAAAUUUCUUCUCCUUUGCUCUUCACCGUGCCCUGCAGUCUCUGUUCCACUGUCCUGUCCGUGCGUCCCGGGAAUAAAAGGAAUGACCAGUAAAACCCCAGCUGGCGGGGAGCAGGGCGGUAGUGUUUCCGUGUGUGUUGUCGGGCAGGGAGGGUGACGGUAGCUCCCAGAUCCUGGACAGGAAAUACCACAAGCUUUUGUCCCUUCCGGGCACUGGGCGCAUCCUGCUGCCCGCAGGGGUGACGAGGGACACGGACCCAGCGGAGCACUGCCCAGGCACAAAUGCCAUUCUUAGGAAGUAAGUGUCCUUCGUGCCAGGCCGGCCGGGCUGAGGCCUCUGCCAGAUGCUCGAAAUGGGACAUCAGUGGUGUCCUGGGAAUCUAAGGAUUGAAGCUAGACUCUGUUACCGUUGCAGCCCCACAGCGGACGAGAUGUUCACUGACCUCACGGCCACGGCGGACACGCAGAGGCUGUGUGAGAGCUUCUGGACGCACGGAGUGGCGGGCAGAAUGGGAGACCAGAGGGGAAGAUCAAGGGCCCACCCAAAGUCACCCGGCGGAGACAGGCUGAACACCACGUCGGCCUGACCCCAACGCCGGCGGUCCGCACCACUGACCCGUGCUCUCAGCAGACCGUGCCUUUUCACCGCAACACGGAACACCACAAAUUAAUUCAAACAAAUUGCAAAUAUGAGUACAAGUGCACUCUAUUUACAAAGCCCUGGAAAUGCUGUUUGGGAGUUUAGAAAAACAUACACGAAGGGGGGGAAAAAACAAGGAAGAACUCAAAACCGAAUUUACAAAUCGUUUGUACAAUAAUAACGAAAACUAUGUAUCAUAACAAAAGAUGAAAACUCAGCAGAAAAACUAGCAAAGGGUGUGAUUAGGAAGCUAAAGAAAAGAAGUUGCAUACAUGGCCCAAAAUAAAUGGAGAAAAGUUCAAAUUUUUUGACUAAAG
rnacentral:lncRNA from 1 species